UUGCUGGGUGGAUCAGUGGCGAACGGGUGAGUAACACGUGAGCAACCUGCCCCUGACUCUGGGAUAAGCGCUGGAAACGGCGUCUAAUACUGGAUAUGUACCACGAUCGCAUGGUCUGUGGUUGGAAAGAUUUUUCGGUUGGGGAUGGGCUCGCGGCCUAUCAGCUUGUUGGUGAGGUAAUGGCUCACCAAGGCGUCGACGGGUAGCCGGCCUGAGAGGGUGACCGGCCACACUGGGACUGAGACACGGCCCAGACUCCUACGGGAGGCAGCAGUGGGGAAUAUUGCACAAUGGGCGAAAGCCUGAUGCAGCAACGCCGCGUGAGGGAUGACGGCCUUCGGGUUGUAAACCUCUUUUAGCAGGGAAGAAGCGAAAGUGACGGUACCUGCAGAAAAAGCGCCGGCUAACUACGUGCCAGCAGCCGCGGUAAUACGUAGGGCGCAAGCGUUAUCCGGAAUUAUUGGGCGUAAAGAGCUCGUAGGCGGUUUGUCGCGUCUGCUGUGAAAUCCGGAGGCUCAACCUCCGGCCUGCAGUGGGUACGGGCAGACUAGAGUGCGGUAGGGGAGAUUGGAAUUCCUGGUGUAGCGGUGGAAUGCGCAGAUAUCAGGAGGAACACCGAUGGCGAAGGCAGAUCUCUGGGCCGUAACUGACGCUGAGGAGCGAAAGGGUGGGGAGCAAACAGGCUUAGAUACCCUGGUAGUCCACCCCGUAAACGUUGGGAACUAGUUGUGGGGUCCAUUCCACGGAUUCC
rnacentral:rRNA from 1 species